rnacentral:rRNA from 1 species
AACGCGAAGAACCUUACCUACCCUUGACAUGGGGAACCGCUGAGAGGUGGGAGUGCACGAAAGAGAACCGGCGCACAGGUGCUGCAUGGCUGGAGCGUGGUGAGAUGUUGGGUUAAGCCGCAACGAGCGCAACCCUUACUUUGUUGCCAGCGGUUAGGCCGGGAACAAAGGAGACUGCCAGUAAUAAACUGGAGGAAGGUGGGGAUGACGAAGAAUGGCCCUUACGAGUAGGGCUACACACGUGCUACAAUGGCGCAUACAAAGAGAAGCGACCGCGAGAGCAAGCGGACCAUAAAGUGCGGUAGCGGAUUGGAGUGCAACGACCAUGAAGGGAAGCUAGUAAGUAGAAGAAUGCUACGGUGAAUACGUCCGGGUUGUACACACCG